GGACGGUUAGCUCAGUUGGUAGAGCAUUGCGUUUACAUCGCAAGGGCCGCAGGUCCGAGUCCUGCACCGUCCA
rnacentral:tRNA from 1 species